GCUUAAUGCGUGUGGGAGAUAGCAAAUAAUACAGAAUAUUGAUUUUGCUUGUAAUUGAUUGGAUUUAAACUGGCUUAGGAUAUACCUGAUUCUAAUCUUUUAGAAUAGUACUUAAGCUGAUCCAAUAAUCAAGUGGAUAUUGAAGUAUAUUUAAUUAUAAUUGAAUUUGUUAAAUUUCAGAAGCGUUGGUAUAAAAAAAAA
rnacentral:misc_RNA from 1 species